UACGUAGGGUGCAAGCGUUGUCCGGAAUUAUUGGGCGUAAAGGGCUCGUAGGCGGUCCAUCGCGUCGGGAGUGAAAAGCUGGGGCUCAACCCCAGUCCUGCUUCCGAUACGGGUGGACUAGAGGUAUGCAGGGGAGAACGGAAUUCCUGGUGUAGCGGUGAAAUGCGCAGAUAUCAGGAGGAACACCGGUGGCGAAGGCGGUUCUCUGGGCAUUACCUGACGCUGAGGUGCGAAAGCGUGGGGAGCAAACAGG
rnacentral:rRNA from 1 species